CACGCAUGACACACUGCAUAUCAAUAAGCGGAGGAAAAGAAACUAACAAGGAUUCCCCUAGUAACGGCGAGUGAAGCGGGAAGAGCUCAAAUUUGAAAUCUUAAAGGGUUUCCCUUUACGAAUUGUAGUUUAAAGAAGUGUUUUCUGUUGGAGUUUCGGUAAAAGUUCUUUGGAAUAGGACAUCAUAGAGGGUGAGAAUCCCGUAUUUGACCGUUACUUUCCAGCUGUGUGAUACACUUUCAAAGAGUCGGAUUGUUUGGGAAUGCAGUCCAAGAUGGGUGGUAAAUUUCAUCUAAAGCUAAAUAUUGGCGAGAGACCGAUAGCGAACAAGUACCGUGAGGGAAAGAUGAAAAGAACUUUGAAAAGAGAGUUAAACAGUACGUGAAAUUGUCAAAAGGGAAGCGUUUGACACCAGUGUUGUUUAGUUGAAAAUCAAUUAAAUAGUUUUUGAUUUUAAGUAGUAUUGACUUCAUCAGCUUGCUGCUUUCUUUCUAGAAAUUAUUGAAUGCACUUUUCAGUUAACAAGUCAACAUCGAUUUCUUUUGUUGUAAAAGGGUAAGAGGAAGGUGGCUUGCGCUUCGGCUCAAGUGUUUAUAGCCUUUUGCCUCUGCAGUCGGAGAGAUUGAGGUCCGCAGCGUAGAUCCUUCGGGGUUAGAUACAUUUGUGCUAAGCUAUAGCCUUGUAUAGACAACUUGUUGACUAUGCUCAGUCAUGUAGCUUACUCGCUUAUGCUAUUUUACCUACGCUUAGGAUGUUGAUCUACAGAGCGAGAGU
rnacentral:rRNA from 1 species